CAGCCGCCGCGGUAAAACGUAGGUGGCAAGCGUUGUCCGGAAUUAUUGGGCGUAAAGGGCUCGCAGGCGGUUUCUUAAGUCUGAUGUGAAAGCCCCCGGCUCAACCGGGGGGGGCCAUUGGAAACUGGGAAACUUGAGUGCAGAAGAGGAGAGUGGAAUUCCACGUGUAGCGGUGAAAUGCGUAGAGAUGUGGAGGAACACCAGUGGCGAAGGCGACUCUCUGGUCUGUAACUGACGCUGAGGAGCGAAAGCGUGGGGAGCGAACAGGAUUAGAUACCCCUGUGUCCCUGUCUCUUAUACA
rnacentral:rRNA from 1 species